CUUUUAUAAACGGUUUGAAGGAAGGGAAAAUGAUCAAAAAAGUGAAGAAAACCUUACUACAAGUAGGCGAGCAGAAUGGGGGGAAAAAGACGAACGGAGGUGGAAGCUCCGAUGAGGUAAGGUCUAAGGUUUUUUUGGAGAGAUGACAAAGAGAGAGAAAAUAAUCUAGGGUUUUAAAAAGAGAGUAUUGGGUUUAAAUAGUUUUAUAGUAAAGGAGGGGUAAUAAGGGAAAUAAAAGAGUUUUAAGUUCUUUUAAAUGGGUUGGUUGAUUAACCCAACCCACCAAACCGACCCGACCCACCAGCCCGGCCGAAAAAACGCUCCAAAUUAGUGCUUUUCCGCUUUAAAUCGCUAAAGCGACGCUUUUACAACCAUGGUUGAACAUUGUUCUGAGCUUUUGUAAUAUGGUUUGUGGCCCUUGAAUUUGCAUACCAUUAAUCUGAUUCAUUCUUUGCACCUGAAUUUACCCCAUUUAUAGACUGCUCUAUCUCUUCAUCUUCAAUUGCAACCACAUUGAUUGAGAGCUCAUCCACAGUUCCUGUUUCAGGGUACCAAACAGAUUUAGAAGCAUUAUUAUAGGCAAUAUUUGCAGUCAUCUUGCUUGUGGGGCCAUUGGAUGACAAUGUCCUUCUAUGAGUUGGAGGAUAUUUAGUGAUGUUGAGACAACUGUAGCAAUUCAGAGCUCCAUGUCCCUUGAUAGUGCAUAUUUGACAUGGGAUUCUCUUGAGAUUGAUUUUCCCUUGUUUGUGACUAUUUUUCUCUGUCUCGACCACAUUAGCACUUUGGGUAAACAGAACCACACUGCCAUGCACAAUUAUUAAAAAGAUACAGAGCCUAGCCUACAACUUCAUAUGGGAUGGGAGAAGAUGUACUAGAUGGGAAAAAAUGACACUCCCAAAGAGCGAAGUUAGAAUAGGGGUCAGAGAUUUUUUUUGCAACUAAUGCUUCAGCAUUAGUCAAAAAAGCAGAGAGGAUCUUGGGUCCUAAUAACUCCACACAAGCAGACUAGAUAAAAGUUAGGUACAUCAAGGGAAGAAACAUUGGGUAAAUAGAAUGCAGACCUACAAAAGACUCUCUCACAUGUGAAAAAUAAUACUAGCUAAUAAGGAAACCAUAGAGAAAUGUAUAAAUUGCUUGAGUAACUAUAGGCUCACCCAAAUUGCUCCCUCCAAGCACUCAGAAACAUUAAAGCCCAAAUGCAUCAUACAAGAGAUAAAUUUAGGGAUCUGGUUCAAAAAGGCUCCCAAAUUCUCCAUGUUGUUGUGGAAAAUUAAGGUCAAGAGUCUCAACACACUAAUUAGACUACAAAGUUGGGGCCUUAACAUAAAUAUAACAUGCCCACUAUGUGGAUAGGAGGAAGAAACAUUGCAACAUUGCAACAAAUCCUAACCCUAUCUCUUGUAAUAAACAUCAGGAUAGGCGACGCUAUGGAAACAAUACAAAAAUUCACCGACAAGUCCAGCUGUUGGGGGGGUUCACUGGACUAUGCUAGCAUCCCUUUCCUUGCACAUAUGGUAUGAAAGGAAUAGGAGAUUAAAACAGCACACCCUAAGGUCCCCAGAAAUUAUCAACAGAGAAAUUAUAAAGGAUGAGAGCAUUGCAUAUGAAUCUAUAUCCUAUAAGAAGAACAAUCUUUUACAGAUUGAAAUACAAGUUAUACGCUCAUGGGAGUCUAACCUCUUAAGGUUUCAGUCCUUGGUUGGUUAGUCAGGGCCACAGUUGUAUUAAAGAUAGAUAAUGUUUUACAUUUAAUGUUUUUACAUUUAUUGUAUUUUUUUUUUUGAAGCAAAUACAUUUAUUGUAUUUGCAUUUCCCUAUAUCUGUAAUCUUGGAUGCUGCCCAACCUCCUUUUUCAGUAAUGAAAACUUUAAUUUCUCAAAAAAAAACCACAUUAGCACUUAAAGAAUUGAUGACCAGCGCUACUGUUUUUGGGGAUUUGAUGACCACGACCUACGCCGAAGCCUGCAAAUUCUCUCGAGUAACGGCAACCAUAUUCUCUCCAUCUUUCAUUGAUCAAUUGGCGGAAAUGUUGAUCAGAGAUAGAAAAGAACAAACCGAUCAGUGCUCUCUACUUUGAUCACAAAAACAAUGAUCAAAAUCGCCUCCCAGAAUUCGAUCAAAUAGCAACUGAUACCAUGAGUAAAAUGAGUAAGAUGUGAAUUUGAAAAUGGAGGAGAACAAAUGUUCGAUCCCCCCCAAAAUGUAUUGAAUUAGUUUAUAUACAUUUGAAGAGAUUACUUCUAACAAAAUUCACUACCAAUUAUGUUAGAUCUGAUCCAUUGGAUUAUUUUAGAAACAAUUAGCUAAUUAAAGUAAUUAACUACAUAGGUAAUUAUAAAGCAAAUAAAAGUAACUAGCUAUUUUCAAUAAUACCCAAUUUAUAACUCUAAUACUUCCCUUUGGGAAGAUACUCCCAAAUAAUACCAAUAAUACCCAAAUAAAGAUUACACUGUAUAGACCGGCGAAGAUACUCCAAUUCCUUAGGUGGGCUUUAGCCUUUAAAAACGUCAAGGGUAUUUUUGUAAAUAUUUAAAAAUAUAUAAAUUUCAAAUAUUUAUAUACUCGAUUUAAAUAUCCUUAAAUACUUCAAUUUCAUAUAUUUAUAGUACUAAUAAAAAAUACUUAAGGUUUAAAGUUUAAAGUUUAAACAUCCUUUAUGUACUAAAUCAGAUUAUAUCUUCUUGGCCCUUUUACGCUUAUAGAUCAUUGGUGGUGCAGGUUCAGGCUUAGGGUUUUUUUCAGAUUCAUCUUUAGGCUUAGUAAUAGGUCUUGACUGACGACUCCUAGUCGAAGACCACAGGUGAUCAGUUGCUCCAACGGUUUCCUCCACAUCGGCCCAAGUGAGACCGUCUUCAGUAUAGACGAAUUCAUUGCAUGCACCGGGUAUACCAGUCACCCACUCACUAUGGUGGUUGAAUUCAUCAACACAGAUGGCGUCAUAUUUCUUUGAACCACUCUCAAUGAGUAGUUUAUUUAUUUUGAACCUCUCGUCCAUCUUCAUAUUGAACUUGGUGUAAAUAAGGUUAUCUUGUCGAACCACACCAAGUCUAUUUUGACUUUUUGUAUGAAACUGCAUAUAAAAGCCACGAUUAAAAUUGUACAAACUAAAAUUAUGUAUUCAAAACAACUUACAUGUGUGAAGAUACUCCAAUUCCUUUCGCAACUAGAGGCAGAACAACAUAAACAAAGGAUUCUCAUGGCAAUUUUCUUCAAUUCGGGGGUUUUAUUAGCAAACAAACCCCACCAUUCCGAUGGCUCUAGUGUUGCAGCCAUAACAUCUGCUUCUGUAGUUCCAAAUCUUCCCGAUCUGCUCUUAUACAAGCACAUGUCGGCAAGUACCUUCAUCUUCAAUUGGAUAUCAUCGACAAUAAUCUUGUCAAGGACAUCUGCAAAAGCCUCUUCAUAGUCAUUGCAUUCAACCGAUGUUUGAGGAUCACUACAGUAAAAAAUAUUGAUUGAUGAGCCAAUGUCCAAAUGAAAAUCAAUAAAAAUUCAUUACUUUUCAAUCUUAUAGUAGAAUAGUGGGUUCAAAAAGAAAGCGGCUUUGACUAUGGAUGACUUGAAAUGCUUUUCCCAACGCUUGUCAAGAAUUUUUAGAAUCGGUCGGUAACUCGAUUCGACUCCACCAAAAUUGUCAAUUAUUGCUUUCUUGGCUGCUAAGAAUGCCCCAUGUAGGUAAGCCAUGUUUGGUUUUGUGUCGCCAUCAACAAUCCUAAGCACCCUCAGUAUAGGUUCUGAUGCUUUCAAAACAUCUUCAACUCCAAACCAAAACCUAGUGUUUACCACAAUAUCAGCAACGUCUAGGCAAUUAUGAUUUCCCCUAGCCCACUGAGACCAAUUAAACGUCCUCAAGUUUUCCUUAGCUUCAUUUAUGCUUUGGAGUGUGAGGAAACUUGUGGCAAAUCGUGUAACUCCACAUCGCACGAGUUCUUUACCAUGAACCUUGAGCCACUCUGCGUGCAAGGUGGUGAUCGAGUGGAUGAAGCUAGUGAUUUUCUUUCCAUGUUUGAAUGUAUCUUUAUAUGUAGGUAAUCUACAAGAAGAUAAAAUUAUAAUUCUGAAUUAUAAAAUAUAAUUUAGAAUUUAAAUGGAAUGGAAUGGAAUGGAAUGGAAUGGAAUGUACCUUUCAAUAUCUUCAAGGACAAGGUCCAACACGUGUGCGGCACACGGAGUCCAAAAGAGAUGUGGAUAUUUCGACAUCAAUAUGUUUCCAGCAAUAACGGAGUUUGAUGCAUUGUCGGUGCACAAUUGAACUACCUUCUCUUUACCUAUUUUCUCAAUCAUCUCGGACAAACCCUCAGCAAUAAACUCUCCGGUCUUCGUUUCUGUCGUGCAAUCGGUAGAACCGAGGUAGAAACUUCCCAACUUCGAGUUUGCCAAGAAGUUGAUGAUUGUUCUCCCCCGUCGAUCGGUCCAUCCGUCAGACAUCAAUGUACAUCCACCUUUAGCCCAUUGAUUCUCAUGCUUCUUCUGCAACUCGUGAAUAUUCAAAACUUCUUCUUCCAAAAGAGGUCCGGAAAUAAGGUCAGGUGAAGGUAUCAUGUAACCCGGACCGUAGCGUCCGAUACCCUCUACCCAAGCCUAUAUAUGAGAUAUAUAAAUCCGAUUUAAUUUAGGAAAAUGCCCAAAAUUAAAUUGUCUAAAAUUUAGAUAAAUUACCUGCAAUUCCAUAUUGUUGGCUACAUUGAAUGCAACCCCACUAGUGAUGAAGAACUUUGCACCGUAUUGGUCGACAAUUUUCUUUUCUUGAAUCUUGAUGUGAUCAGCAAUGGUUGUUUGUCGUUUUUCAUCGGUUUUUCUCUUCUUCACUACGUCUAGAAGAGUUUCGCCCUCUUUCAAACCCAAAGGACCCACUAUUUUUAUUUUCCCGCACGAUUUGAUUUCUUUGUUUCCUGAAGAUGAUGAACCAACACCGCUAAUAACAACAUUCCUCUUCACAAAAUCCAUCGGUAGACGCUCAAAAUCAACAAUCGGGGAUUUCCUUGAAGGGAUCUUUUCCAUUAGCACCUUCAAGAUCUCAGCACGAAUUUGGGAAGAGGCUUUAGGACAAUGUCUUGUGCCGAGUUUCCCACCGACGGGAUUUACACGAGUGAUAUGAAGUUUCACCCGAUGGAUGCCCCCCCUAGAGAGAAAUCCGCAUAGGAGACACCGCACUGGUAACGUCUUCGUGUCUUUUUGUUCUUCGGGUGCAUAGGCGGCAUACUUCCAAGUUGGAUCAUCCCAAUUUUUUGGACGAUUCAACUUCAUAUCCGAUAUCAAAUUCGGGUCAAUCGAUUUAUCAUACACACUAGGAUCGACCGGCAUCAAACGUUCUACUAGAGAAACUUGGGGUUGCGGGAGCUCAAUGUUUUCUUCGACGAUCUCGUCUAAUGGAUGAUCGUAUUUCAUCUUGUUCUCUUCAUAAACAACUUAUCCUUAUUGUGGAAUGUAGUUCGAAUCACUUGAGUUAGUCAUAGAAGUUAAAAAAAUCUGGAAAAAUAUAAACAAAUUAAAAAAAAUCUGGAAAAAAUGAUUUAUUUUGGACAUAUUUUUUUCCACGUAAAAACAGGUGACCAGCGAAGGGAGCACUGAUUGGAGAAGAUUUGGGGUGUCUCUUGCGUUUUCCAGAGUUCUGGAAAUGCAAGAGCCUUAAUUUUUAAAUAAAAAUUUAACUAUUUAAGUGAAUCAGAUCCGGGAGUAGUAAAGAUUGAAAUGGAUUUUGAGCUUUGUAAAGCAAUUUAAAUUCCAAUACCUCUAUAAACUAUCAAACAAACAAAACAUUCUUAAAUAUCAAUCAAAAUAAAAUAACAGGCACGAAUCUCUAAUUUUAAAAUUCAAAGGAUGCUAAAAACAAGCUGUCUAAAAUCUAAAUAUUAAUCAAAAUAAAAUAAAAAAUAUCAAACUCCAGUUUGAAAUUCAAAGGAUUAAAAAUGAUCUCUAAAAUCUAAAUAUCAGUUUAAAAAAAAAACAUUAAUCUCCCUCCGGUUUGAAAAAUCACAGUAUGCUAAAGAAAGAUGUCUAAAAUCUAAAUAUCAAUCAAAAUAAAGUAAAAAACAACAAUAUCCAAUUUGAAAAUCCGAAGGAUGAUAAAAUAAAAUGCCUAAAAUCUAAAUAUCAAUCAAUCAAACAACGAUGAAUAGACACAAUAACAUAGACGGAGGAAUUUAGAAGGGAAAAAUGAACCUGAUGUCGAAUGGAUCUCCGGAACCACCUGUCCUCCAGGAUCUCCAAAUUCUCGAACUGAAGGAAGCAGAGCUAGGGUUUAUACGAAGGAAUUAAGAUUUAUUCUUUUAACUUCUGUUCUUUAUAUAUUCAAUAUAAAUAUACUUUUGGUCCCUCAACAAUUUCUUUAAUACAAACUAGAUUCAAAAAGGUUUAUAGAAACAAACCCCAAUUACUGUUUAUUAGUAAUUUCACUUUCUGUUAAGAAUUCAGUUACGAUUUCAAACUUUUCUCAUUUUUUCCCACUUCUUCUGUACGAAUCUAACUUCUUCUUCUUUCUUCAAAGAUUCUUGAAUCAUUUUGAUCGGAGAUGAAGCUUCUCGAUCGAUCGAUCACUAGGAAGAUUCAAAUAAGACGCCGUAAAGAUCAAGGGAUUCAACAACAAUUCAUCGGUUUAUACUGUAAUGCUAUUUUCAAUGAUUUUCUACUCCUGGUAUUUUCUACAACAUUUCAAUGAUUUUCAAUUCCUACAAAGAUUCAAAUGUCCGUUUUACUAUUGAUUUGAAGCUAUUUUUGAGAGAGUGUGAGGUUAAGAUGAAAGAUUCCGGUGAUAGCCAGAGAAGAGGAGAACGAAGGAAGAAGAUGAAGAAUCGCAGAAAUAUUAAUAUUUUAAUAUUAAAAACAUUGAAAAGUUGUAACAUGUAAUGCUAUUUUAUAAUGGUAUAAGGGUUAUUUUGAAUAACCUCUUAAACUAUUUGUUUACUGUAAUAAUUUUCAAUUCCUACAACAUUUAUUUUUCUAGUAAACGACCAUCAUCAAUUCAAUCUAACCAUUCCUACAGCAAUUAAGUCUAACUAUAAGUAUAAAUAAAGGUGGAGGAUGGAGGAGUUAUCAUCAUCUGGAAAAUUUGGUUAAAUCGUCUCUUAAUUCACCCCUGGCGCUCUUCUCUACCUCCGAACUUCUUGGCUCUUCGGUAACUGUCUUUAGUAUUUUAUAUGUGGUAUUGAUACAGGAUAUGAGCCUGAAUUAGUCCAUCCUCGUUGGGUUUUUUUAUCUUUGGAAUUAGGGUCACGAAAGUCGCGUUAACUUAUCUUAGGAGGGGAUCUCCUAAAAAAAUAUAUUGUAUGAUCUUUACAAGAUCCUUGUCCAUGAUACUCCAGAAAGCUCUAAAAAAAGUUUUGUUGAAGCCAUCCGGGCCAGGGCUCUUGUCUGGGUUCAAAUCCAUAACUAUCUUCUUAACUUCUUCGUACCUAGCUAGGUAAUUCCUCUAGGUCUGAGUUUUAUUGGUCUGUGACUGUGUUUGUGAAAUUCUUAGGGGUGCUACUCAAACUCUCCUUACCCUCAGCAUAUAAGACUUAGAAGUGCUCUAGUAUCUUCUCCUCCAUCUCGCUCCUCGAGACCAUCACCUUCCCAUUGGGCCCUAACAUCCUAUAUAGGGAGUUAAGGGUUUUUCUAUGUUUUGUCAUGACUGCGAAGAAUUUAGUGUUCUUGUCCCCGAGUUAGAGCUAAUACGCCCUACUCCUCUGUCUUGCAUCCUCCUCUUAAACCUGUAUUAGGGCUUGUAAGUUUCUUACACACCUUUGUAGCCUCUCAUGUAUUGUUACAUCAAAUGGGGUUAGCUCUAACAAGCUCUCAUUCUUUUGAAUCUCUUCCUCGGCCUAGGCGAUCCUCCACCUUGCUUGAUCCUCCAAUGUCUUCCACCUCUUAAGAACCCUCUUCACAUUGUUUAGCUUCUUGGUGAAUAUAUACAUCGGAGUCCCCCACACCUGAAUCUGCCAAGCAUUUCUGACUAUCUCUUGUAAUUCUUCUUUUCUAAGCCAUGAGUUGGUGAACCUGAAAGGUUUUUUCUUCUCUUGAACGUUCCUAAGAUCGAUGGUCAAGCUACGGUGGUCGGACGUGCCCCCGGAGUGAUUGUCCAACCUCAUAUCGGGUCAUAGAUUAAAGAGUUCGACAUUCCCAAACCCCUUAUCGAUCCUACUGUUGAUCCUAUAUUCUCCUACCUUUUUAUUUAUCCAUAUUGGUAGGUUACCUAGAAUGGAGAUCGAUCUCUUGCAAACAUGCAUUGUCUAUUGCUUGGUUGAAUCUCCUUAUGUUUGGCAUAGAGACUCCGGCAUGUUCUCCUACCCUGUCUUCCCUACUUAUGGCCUCGUUGAAGUCGCCCAGAAGGAUCCAUGGUCCAGUAAUCGUUCUACUUAAUUUUAUCAGCUCGUCCCACAGUUUAUCCCUCUUUUUGUAAUCGGUUGAGCCAUACACUAGCUAGUGUGACAUGUAUGGUUAACCCUCUUUUAUUUUUGGCAAAGCAGUGUAUGAAAUGAUCGUGCAAGAUGGUGCUCUCAAUCUCCCAGAUAUUCACAUCUCAUACCAACCAGAUAGAGUCCGGUUCUAGGUCUGUUUCAUUGGCCCUGUUUGAUAUCACCGAGAAAUUUUGUCCAAAAAUCUUACUGAAAUGCGCAAAGUUGACCUUCUUAAUUUUGGUCUCAUAUAGGCCAAAUAGAUCCAAUUUGAAUUUCUUGACAAACCUCUUAACCUCAUCCUUUCUCAUAUAACCUCGUGUUUUGUUUAUCUUUUUUCAUUUUGGUCAUCUGGUUUUUAAGAUAUUCCUCUUCAACCCACACCCACAUGCAUCUAUUGUCUUUUUAGUCUUGGUGCAAUUUGAGAUGUGUGCUUGACUAAUUCCAUCUUGUGUUUUGGUCAAGAUUGUGGCUAUUUCAUCAAAUCUGUUCAAAUUGGGCAGGUUUAGGUUUAUCUAAUCUAUUCCUCACCUGGAACUAACGUGGUUUCAUCAGAUAUAUCCAAUUCAGCGAACGAAAUCUCCACGACCUCGACGAACGUACUGAUUGGGUGAGCUGCGAUACCUCACCCUCACUCCGAUGAUUCAUCGGUGUUCGCAUGGGAAGGAAUCGCAUAGGAAAUGCACCCUUAUUAUUUAAUACAAAAUAAAUCAGCUGCGAAUGCCUUCGCAUUCUCUGACAAUGCGAAGGCAUCACAGCCUUCCAAAAUCUCGCAAUAAAUCCCCACCCUUCAUGUUUCACCGGUUGCCAACCAGUGAAACUUUUUUCCGCAACACAUGGGUUGCGUCAGUUUGCAACCCACGUGUAGUUUUAUAUUUUUUUUUUAAUUUUUUUUAUCCUUUUCUUUCUUCCACGUAGCUUCUAUUCCUCUUGUUUUUGUCUAAUCCUGUUUUUUUUUUCUCACCAUCUUAUCACCAUUAAAUGGGUUUGACAUCCAUCAACCAUCUACUCUUACCUUUAUGUCUCCAUCGUCCUUGUGUUGAUGUUUUUUUUCGACUGUGCUUAUACCUUAGUCAUGUAAUGCUUCCUUUAUUAUCGUUAAUGCUAAAAAUUCAAAAAUAUGUCAAAUCGUGUUAGGCUUCUAUCUUCUUAUCUUACAUCUUCUUUCAUUUCAUUCUUUACUCAUCUUCCACCUUCUUCCCAUCUCAAGUUCUUCACAGAGCACUCCAUCUUCAUCUCAUUUUCUCCCCUCAAUCUAGGAUACGGUUUUUGGUCUUCUUCUUUUUUGGUUAUAUCUAUUUAUAACAUCAAGGUAUAUCUCAAAAUUCAUUAAAUGUUAUUGAUCAAUCAUCACCUUUACCAUAACCUAACAUUGAGCCCCAAAACACCAUUCAUUUCUCUCCUAAUUCCUCCUCUAUAUAUAUCACACCACCCCCAUAUCGUCUCCUUCAUGCCCAACCAUUGAUUCCACCCACAGAGCGUCCUAGACCUCAGUGUAAUGUUAGUCUUGAUUUUUACUCUAUCCAAAACGAAAAACCAUCUGAUUGUAUUCCUAAUGAAACCUAUGGAAAUGUUCAAUGUUGAAGAAUCAAUGAUUUUUCACUUAUUCCUAAUUUCCUAAUGAUACUUAUGGUCCUCAUCAAUACCAUGACACUCCAUUAGACAAUCUGCAGACUCCUAUUUCUUCUGGGAAUAAUGAUGUAACUGGAUUACUUAAUGCUAUUAAUUCUUCCGACAAUGUUUCUCCUAGUUUUUUCGUUCCCAAACAACCCACUGAUACCAAUUCUUCUUCAGACAAUGUUAAAGUGAAUUCACCACUCUUUUUUGGUCAAAUUUUUUUCUCAUAUUCUGAUGCUCUUGAUCAAUAUUAUGGUUAUGCGUCGAAAAUGGGUUUCUCUGUUCGUUUGGGUUCUACAAACUAUAGAACUAGUAAGGAUGAUGGUAAAAAAAAUUUAGUUAUGCGACGAUUGUUGUGUUCGAAAGAAGGAAAAGUCGACCUAUUACAUCCUCCUAAAUUAGGCAAGCGUCGCAAGAAUAAAGUUUCAAGGUGUGGUUGUUGUGCAAGCAUUAAAAUAAAGAAAGAAGCUGUGUCUGAAGUAUGGAUUGUUAAAAAUAUUAUUCUAGAGCAUAAAUCGUUCGAUAUCCUCUACCUCCAGAUUACUUUUCAAAUCUCUUAGUGAAGUCAAUGUACCCGUUUCGCAGCAAACUGCUUAUUUUUCAGCUCGAGUUGGUGGAAUCGAUCAUAUGGGAUGUACGCAAUUGGAUAUAUCGAAUUUGUGUCGGGACGAUCGUGUCGAUCUGAAGAAUUAUGAUGUUGAUCUAUUCGUCGAGGAAUUUGAAAUGAAGAAGUCUGUACAACCGGAUUUCUUUUAUUCCAUUGUCAAGGAUUCGAUUGGUAGACUGAAAUAUGUUUUUUGGGCUGAUUCUAUAAUGAUUCAACAUUUUAAGUUAUUUGGAGAUGCAGUUACAUUUGACACCACUUAUAAGACGACUGUUUAUUCUUUGAUAUUUGGAAUGUUUUGUGGAGUAAUCAUCAUAGAAAGACUGUCAUCUUCGGUAGUGCAUUUCUGAGGUAACAUAUCAUUUUACUAAUGGUUAUUGUCGACUUAUGAAUGCUACUUUCUUAUAUCCUAAUGUAUAUUUUUAUAUCCAAAUAAAUAACCUCAUGUUCUCUUCAUAUUAGUAACGAGAACGUCGAUGUGUUUACCUGGUUGUUUAAAAUCUCCGUUGAAUGCAUGGGGACUGCUCCGAAAUCUAUAAUUACUGAUCAAGAUCUUGCUAUGAAGGGUGUCAUUACAAUUGCUUUUCCUUCAAGAUUUCACCGACUUUGCCGAUGGCAUAUCACGAAUAAGUUGUCUACUAAAGUGCCCAUUGUUUGUCGUGAUACCAAUGCCUUGAAUUUAUUUUAUCAAAUUAUUAAGUAUUCUGAAACUUCCGAUGAUUUUGAAGAAGCUUGGGCUUUAUGGUUGACCAACAAUCAUUUGUUGUCGAACGUUUAGUUGAAGAGUUUAUAUGAUAUUCGAAAGUCUUGGGUUUCAUGUUUGAUGUGCGAACAUUUUUUCGCUGGUAUGCAUUCAACCCAAAGGAGCGAGGGUAUGAAUUCAUUUAUCAAAACUAGGGUUACUGUCAAAAAUUUACUAUUUCAAUUUGUUCGUCGUUGUGACAAUAUGAUAAAUUUAAUCUGAGAGAUUGAGAAUCUAGACGAUCAUAAAGACACCUUUUGGCAUCCAAAAUAUAUUACAUCUAUGGAAAUUGAGGUUGAUAUCUUGAAAUUUUAUACGACCGCUAUUUUUCUUUUAUUUCAAGAGAAGAUGCAGAAAAGUUUUUUCUAUCAUAUACUCUCAGCGACGGACGCUUCGACUGAGGUAUAAUUUUUUACAUGCCCAUUGUAUUUUCAAUUUUAUUUAUGUUCUUUUUUUUACCUCUCUCUCAUUUCUUAUAUUAGGGAUUACUUUUCCUCCCAGUUCUAUCUUUAUAAAGGCAAAAGGUAAUUCAUAAGUUGACCCUUAAUAAAGACUCAAAUAUACCAAGAUGCAGUUGUCAUAAAUUUGAGUAUAGAGGUGUUUCAUGUCGACAUAUUAUACAUUAUUUGAUUGUGAAUGGCGCUUCGAAAUUACCUUAAUUUUUUAAAAUGCCCAUACCCCAACGGUUCAAUCUUUACAAGCCGACUCCCAAAAUCCAUUGUCCUCUUAUAUUUUACUUUCGCAGACAUUGAUGACCUACGCUCGCCUAGGAGAACGACAACUGAACAUUCUUAUGGAUUUUGGUAACCAAGCUUUGGACAAGUUGAUUAAAAUCACUGAUGUCCCUAAGAAAACACGACAUCAAUUACAAGAUGCAAGCCACCAAAAGCAACACCGAUAAAUAUUGGUAUACCUGCGAAAGCGAAAACCAAAGGAAGUGGUAAGAGUGGCCGUCCAACAAAAAUAGAUUCAGAGAGAAUGAAGAGUGCCAAAGAAAUUUAUCGUGACCCUAAUGUACCAAAGUAGCUGACUCAAAGUCGUCAACCAAGGAGGUAGAUGCUUGUACAACUUCUUGUAAUGACAUUUUAUUUUUUACCCAAUCAUCAGAACCAAUUUUUUGUAAUGACUUUUUCUAAUGACGAUUUCCUUAAAGCUUGCUACUUAUACACUUAUGCUAUUACUACUUCCCUCUGUUGCAAAUGAUAACAAUAGAUGCUUCCACGUCUCCAAGUAAUGCUAUUACUUAUUUUUGCAAUGAUCAUAGGCCAAGUCUCAUUACUGCUUGUAAAUAACCAACCAAUGCUAUUAUUACUUGGUUAUAUUGGAAAUGAUCAUGAUAGAUGCCUCUAGGAGUUUAUCUAGUAAUGCUAUUAUUACUUGGUUGACUUGACAAUCAUCAGGAUAGAUGCUUGUACAAGUCAAUGUAAUGCUAUUAUGUUCCUUCGCAAGUAUCAGAGGCCAAUUUUUCAUUAAUGCUUUUAACUUAUCUAAUAAUGCUAUUACUACUUGCCUAUGUUGCAAAUGUUUACAAUAGAGGUUUCACGAAUACCAGUAAUGCUAUUAUGUUUUUGCGCAAUGAUCAUAUGCCAACUACUUCGUAAUGCUUGGACAUUAUCUAGUAAUGCUAUUAGUACUUGCUAAUGUUCCAACUGAUAACAAGAGAUGCUUCUACGAUGACAAGUAAUGCAUUAAUGAUCUGAACUUCCCUACUAAUGCUUCUACGAAUACAAAUAAUGCUAUUAUAUAUUUGUGCAAUAAUGCUAUUAUAUAUCCCUACUGCAUGCAUCCUCCCUACUAAUGCUAUUAUUACUUGGUUAUGUUGCAAAUGAUCGCAAGAGAUGCUUCUACGAAUGAAUGUAAUGCUAUUAUGUGUGUGCGCAAUGAACAGAGGCCAAGAUAUCCUUACUGCUUGGAACUUACCUACUAAUUGUAUUAUUACUUGGUUAUGUUGCAAAUGAUCGCAAGAAAUACUUCUACGACUGAAUGUAAUGCUAUUAUGUGUCUGCGCAAUGAACAGAGGCCAAUAUAUCCUUACUGCUUGGAACUUACCUACUAAUGCUAUUAUUACUUGGUUAUGUCGCAAAUGAUCGCAAGAGAUGCUUCUACGAAUGAUUGUAAUGCUAUUAUGUGUGUGCGCAAUGAACAGAGGCCAAGAUAUCCUUACUGCUUGGAACUUACCUACUAAUUGUAUUAUUACUUGGUUAUGUUGCAAAUGAUCGCAAGAAAUACUUCUACGACUGAAUGUAAUGCUAUUAUGUGUCUGCGCAAUGAACAGAGGCCAAUAUAUCCUUACUGCUUGGAACUUACCUACUAAUGUUAUUAUUACUUGGUUAUGUUGCAAAUGAUCGCAAAAGAUGCUUCUACGAAUGAAUGUAAUGCUAUUAUGUAUGUGCGCAAUGACUAGAGGCCAAGAUAUCCUUACUGCUUCGAACAUACGUGCUAAUGCUAUUAUUACUUAGUUAUGUAGCAAAUGAUCGCAAGAGAUGCUUCUACGAAUAAAUGUAAUGCUAUUAUGUGCGUGCACAAUGAACAGAGGCCAAGAUAUCCUUACUGCUUGGAACUUACCUACUAAUGCUAUUAUUAUUUGGUUAUGUCGCAAAUGAUCGCAAGAGAUGCUUCUACGAAUGAAUGUAAUGCUAUUAUGUGUCUGCGCAAUGAACAGAGGCCAAUAUAUCCUUACUGCUUGGAACUUACCUACUAAUGCUAUUAUUACUUGGUUAUGUUGCAAAUGAUCGCAAGAGAUGCUUCUACGACUGAUUGUAAUGCUAUUAUGUGUCUGCGCAAUGAACAGAUGCCAAGAUAUCCUUACUGCUUGGAACUUACCUAAUAAUGCUAUUAUCACUUGGUCGUCUUGACAAUCGUCAGGACAGAUGUUUGUAAUGUUUUUAUAACCAGUAGAACAAGUUACGUUGCGUUUCAUAAUUAAUGCUUUUUAAUAAGUUAGUAAUGCUAUUAAUAUAAGUUCUUAAUGAUAUAACAUAUACUAAUAGAUGUACCAUUCCUAAAUAACAUUCCACCUGUAGUCAGCACAAUACAUAAUAUACUAACAGACACAACCUAAGCUCUUUGCUUGUAAUGUAAGUAGCAUUUAACAUCUAGAAGAGAAGCUCGAAGAAUAUCAUAUACGAUUUUUUUGGCCAUUUAUCCACAUCUUUCCUGCUCCAUAGCACGGUGUCCCCCAUGACUAUGUAAUUCAUUGCCAUGAGAACAUAUAUUCCGCUGUCUGGAGUCAUCUUGAAUGAUGCCUGCGGAAAAUCUUCCACCUGUAUUGUUAACCAAUGAGAUUUAUGAUGGUCGGAAUACACGUUCAUAAUGUAGUGAUUCAGCCAUAGUACCUGCAUUGAAGAAAUGUUUAUUUUUUAGAAAAAUGGUUAAAUUAGGUCGACCUACCAAGGUAUAAAACUUACGCAGUCUGCAAAUUGUUUGUUCAAUGGUUCCAAUUUGCGAAAAGGAGAGUAGUGAUAAAAUAUUUUCGUGCAAAUGCACAGAAAUAUUAAAUGUGAUACUCCUUGUCUCUCAAUGGGGACCAAUACUUUCUCGAUUUUAGUCCAGUCGUCGUUUUCCCCAUCAAGGUUUUUCUUCAUUGUCAACCAUUCUUUAUCAUUCAAUUUUCUAUUUAGAGGUUUACCGUGACAUUUCUUCUGCAUAAAUUUUGCUAUUUCAUUUCUCGCUUCCUAAUAAUAACGUUCUAAUGUAUCAUAACACUUACCAUUUGGAUGGAGUGCAAGAAUUUGACUAUUCCAGUACGCAUAUGAUCACAAAUAAUCUUCUUCUUCAGAACCUGUAUAAACAUAGAAACACAAUGUACCGAAGUACAUCGAAAUUUUGAAAAAUAGUCAAAUUCUUGUCUAUAUUAUUUAAAUCGUUCUAUCGAAGUAAUUUUUACCGGGCCCUUCACCAGCAUGUGGGCAGUAAUAGAUAUCAAAGAUGUUGAAUCGCACGAGACGUUGUCUAUUGUGAGCAUCCCAUCUAGUGCUGCCCUCUCUAUUAGCUUGUUCAACUCUACAUGCUCAUCUUUGGCUAGUUUACGUCGUGUCAGUUUAUUUUGGUCUACCUGAUCCUUCAAGAUGAGGUCAUGUUUUCUUCUUACUUAGUUGACCUAUAUUAGAAAAUAGCAUUUGGUUGUAGUACAUGUACAUUAGGUGAAUAAUACAGAUUUCCUUUACUUACAUGUCGAUCCUUUAUCCGUUUGACCAUAAAGCUGAGUUUCGGCCUAACAGGCUGUCCAUGUUGUCUAGAUGAAAUCGGGACAUUGUCCAGCUCGUCGUCGUCGUGUCCUUUCAUUUUCCUUGCCCUCCCUCUCUCUUGCAUUCCAUUCCCUCGUCCUUUUUAAAAUGUUGUCACCUUUAUUUAGGUCCCUCAUCUUCUCUAAAAAUAUAUUUGAUUUUUCUGCUUUAUCUGCCAAAACACAGGCUUCGUCUAGAAAUUCAGGAUCUUCUUGUGAUGAUAGAUAACUUGGGAAUUUAACGUAAUCAAGGAUAUCUGUGGAAAGAUUUUAUUAGAAUGUAUUUGACAAAUUGUAAUUAUAUGAAAUAUUAGUCGUACUUGAACUUAACAUCACUAUCUCGUGUCCAAUCAUUUUCAGUUACUAUUUUAGCAUUUACUCUAUGACUACGUACAUCAAAAUUUGUAAUACAUAAGAUAAGUUCUUAUAAAAUUAUGAAAAGUCAUUUUUCACAUUUCCAUAUUUCAAAACUACAUUGUUUGAUUUUAGUUUGAAAUUGUCAUAAAUUUUUUGGUAAACAACUCUAAUUUAAAUGUUCCAAACAAAAAGAGAUUUCAAAUAUUGCGAAAAAAGAUAUUCAUUCAAAUUUAUAUUACUUCCUCCGACCCUUUGCGGUAAUUAAUUUCUUCUUCUUACCUUUCCCAUAGGGUAGAGUAACUGUUGCUUCCUUUGGGUCAUUUUCCACCGGAUUGCAAUUAUCUUCAUCAAAAUAAGAGUUUAACAGAUUAUUAAGCAACUUGACAACAAAAUGACGGUAAAAUAAUUAUGUAUUUUUAUACCUUCUGAUGUAAGAUCGACCUUGUUAGAUGUACUUGGACCUGGAUUUCCAAACUUGUUAGCAUUAUCCUUGAUUUUCACCUCCCAAGCUUCAUAUAGUUCUUCUUUCACUUUUUUCAUUGUCGGGUAAUCUGUUGAUCCUUUCCCUUUCACCACAUAAGAUGGUAUUUUUAUUGGCUCCUUAUUCGCUUCAUAAGUUACAUGCCCUGCUUCAUAAUUUACAUUCGGGCCCACAGAGGUUACAUUGACAGCCUCAGAAUUUACCUUCACUGCCUCAGGCGUAAACUUUUCUGCUCAGCUUUCCCCUUCUCUGCCACAAAUAAUUGAAGGCUGAAUGAUGGUGGAGUAAAAUUUAUCUUCAUUUUAUCAUUAGCAUAAUCCAUAUCAUCCUUGCCUUUUCCUUUAUCUGUAGGAAACAUAGUAACAUUAUUCUCAUUUUUUAACCAAUAAGCAAGUAAACUAAAACUAGUAGUAAUUACCAUGGUUUCCAGAUUCACCUAUUUUAAUAUCCACAACUACUGGCCUUGGUUUCUUGGCCUCGUUAGGUCCUGAUCCUGUAAAUCAUAUUUCAACUAAUAAGUAAUCGUCUGCUUUGAAAAAUAAAUAGCCAAAAUAUUUAAUUCUGUUUUUACUAAAAAUUAUGUAGCACAUAAUUAUACACCUGUCUUAACUACUUCAACUUCCUCUGUGACCUUUGGUUCGUCGUCAUGUACGUCAGCAACAUUGAGAAUAUUCUGCUCUUCGACUAUUACUUCCUCCUGCCUUACAUUAUUAUCAAUAAUUUUAUCAUAUAACUGUUCUGAAUUAUCAUGAAACUUUUCAUUUGGGUCAUCAACUUCAAGUAUAGCAGCAUUAACUGCCUCUGAGGCAUCAUUCACAAUCUCUGUAUCAUCAUUGGCACUCUGCUUCGGGUCAUCUUUCUUUAAUAUACCAGCAUCAAGUUCCUCAGAAGCUUCAUUUGAACAUUUUUUUGUUUCUUCCUCAUUCAACAUCACUGUAUCAUCACCCACUGCCUCUGAAAGAAUUUUUUCAACAUCCACACUUGAUUUAUUACCAUCUACCUCUUCAUUUGCAGCAUCUUCUUCUUCUUUUUCCUUCAUUUUCACUCUUCUUCGCAGCAAUUUCCUUCGGCACUGCAUAACAAAUGCAAAUUUUUUUACCUAAACAUAUAGGUCGUUCAAUAAUAAUUUUAAAAUUUCAAAAAAUAAAUAUACCUUCCUCUACCACUAUUUCAUCAUUGCCAAAACGAACUUUCUUUGAUUCUUUUGGUUUCUUUAAUUUCUCCAAAUAUUUCUCCGCCGUGUUUAAACUACCGGCACUCUCAGAUCUGCCACUAGAUAAUCUUGAACUACGACGCACUGGGGAUUGCCCAAUUUUCUUUUUUUUGCUUGCUUUUUUUUUAUCCAAUAUUCUAGGUUGCUCCUUAUCAGUUCUGAUUGUAGCAUCGACUGUCUUUUUCACAGCACUUCCUUCCUUACUAGUAUUCUUCUGUAUUUUUUUCGCUUCAACAAGAUGCUUCUUUCCCUUCGCAAUCGAUUUCUUCUUCUUCUUCGCAUCAAUAGAAUCACUCGAAUCAGAAUUUGUGGUAGAAUCUGAGCCGCCAUCGACCUCAUCAGAAUUACUAGUCUCUUUUUCAGAUGAAUCACACUCCAUGUCCUUCACAAUUGACAAUCUCUUUGCCAAUGCAAUGUCAUGUGGAAAUACCUAUAUGUAAUGAAAUAAAUAUUAGCAUUAAUAGCGUACAAUAAAACAUUCAGGACACACACAUGUACCUCACUAGGCUUCAAACCAGUGAUGUCCUCAGAACAAUUACAUCACCACCCCAUUUUUUGAAGUAGGGUUCGAAGCCCGCAUAGACGUCGUCCGGUUUAGCAAUCAUCGUAUGCUUGUAUAGCCACACCUAAUGGAUUUCAGCGUAAAGCACAAUAAUUAGAAACAAAAUUUACAAUAUUAAAACAAAAAAGUAAUAUUAAACAUACCAUCAAAACCAAUAUACAGCCAUCCAAAUAUUCUUUGGAUGCACUCGUAGUCUGUCGUCGACAUAGUACACUAUCGCGACAUGUUUCCAUCUUCAGAAAUAGAACUUCUCUGAUAUAAGCAGCCCAAUUAUACUCUUCUAGGAAUCCUAGGUUGUCGACAUAAUCCAACAUUUUCUUCCCAAUCCUAUAAGAAUUCUUGCAGCCUAGGAUUGUAAUAAAAAGAGAUAUAAUCCAGAGCCUCACUAUGUCAUCCGCAUCUUCGUCAUUCAUCUCUUUUUUCUUCUCCAAAAUCACACUCAUCGUCAAACUAACGACAUCUCUUUUCAGAUCAGCAUCUAGAGUUGUAUACUUAUUCGCCCAAUCGCUUGUUGGUUUCGCCUUUGGCUUCAUGUUAAUUGGCAGUCCUUUAAAUGGAACCCCCAAAAUUUCCCCUACUUCUCUAACCGAAAGCUCCAUUUUCUUUCCUUUGAUUUCAAAACAAUAAUUGCCCACAUAACAUCCAACCAAAUCAUCCAACAAUCUUGAUUUGAUUUGAAAAUCAACCAUCCCAAUAAAAGAUCCGAAACAAGUAUCUUUCAUUUUCCGCAUAAUUGAUUUCGAGAUUUUUAUUCUACCCUUGCGGACAACAUCAACAUAUGUGGGAAUACCAUAUCUAUGUCUUAUCAAAUCAUUAACUAGAAGAACAAUAAAUACUUUUUAAAAAAUAUGUGCGGAUGAUGAAAAAUUUAUUCAAAAAUUACUCACUGAUAUGGAGAUUGUCCUCUGUCCUCUCCCUCUUCACCUUCACAACUUUUUUCGCAGCAUUACUGCUCUCACCUUUAUCCUUAACGAUGCUAAAAUCCACACUCAUGCUGUCAAAAGAUACAUUUUCUUUACUCUUUUUCUUCUUGCCCUCUGAGUCAGUAGCACUUGCUGUUUCAAAUUUAAACAGUAAGACACAUAUAUUUUUCUCAUCCAAAUUCAAUCUUAUUUUCGUGAAAUGAAAAACAAAAAAAAUCUUACAAUUGCGCUUGCGCUUCUCCAUAGGCAUUGUUAAAAAAUCUGAUUAUAUAUCAGAAAGUACACUGGACACAACUCUAUCUACGUCGGCAAGGGUAAAAUCAAUGUCUAGGUCACCUACAAAAUAUAAAGUUAGUACAGAUUUUUUCAACUAAUCAAUGCAUGUGGUGACAGCAUUGGAAAAUUGACUAGGUCGGACAAUAUAUAAAAUAAGAAAGAGUAGUAAACCAUCGGCAUCCCCUAUUUCAUCUCUUCUUGGUUGGGUUAAUUGUAUUUGAGAUGAACGGAGAUCGCUAGAUUCAUUCGACGAAGUCAUUUCUUUUUGUUUAAAUUUUUUAGAAAAUCACUGAAAACUAAAAAAAUUCGAUGGUCUAAAAAAUAGUUGUCAAAGUGCAAUGUACAAAUAAAACAGGAUAUAGCUAUUAAAUAUGAAGAACAUGUACCUUCGUUUCUGAAAAAAAAAGCCUUUAGACAAUUAAAAAUACUACUGUUUUUCUUCAACACAAUGUCACACCAAACGCCCAAAUCUGCUCAUUCACAAAAAAAUUAUAAUCGAAGCAAUAGACAAUAUUUCGUGCUCUGUAAAAACAUAUAGUUGAAUACAAAUCGAGUCCUAACCUAAUCCACAUACAUCUAUCUAAAGAAUGUACAUUCCACUCUCAAAAAACAUAAAACUAAAUACUCACUAAUACCCAACACCCUAUUUGGUCCAUCCAACCGCUAAAACAGAGUAAAAACGGAACCCAUCGGAUUGAAGUAGGCAAUGGUUAAAAUAGAAAAAAAUUGUACCCAACUCAAUAACGAUAUCAAUAGUAAAAACAUAAACAAAAAACAUACCUUGUACGUACCCAACCCAAACAACCUUCUUCCUCACGAACUUAUUCCACCAAACACCCUCCUCUGUUUUCGAAAAAAUCUUCACUACAACCAAAAUACUUUUCAAAACAGAGAAGACGUUCAAUGGUGGAGAUGACCGGUUUAAAUAGGGAUAAAUCCCUCUUACCUUGCCCAAAAGACGCGACUGCCUGACCAAAUCGACGCGCAACGUCCCUAGGGUUUUUUGCCGCUCGUUUUCGUCGAUAGUGAAGAUGGGAAAUACAAAUGUUGUGUUGGGUGCGUAAUUCGAAGGAAGGUAAUGCUAUGUAAGUAAGAUGAUUUGAUAGGUAGAUGGCAGAGUAUGAGAUGGCAUUCGUAAAGUUACUAAUCAAUUUUCAACUAGUCUAGUGAUAGACUAAUAGCAGGUUUUUAAAUUUUUUUUACCCGGUAACACCGGUUGGCCGAAAAGAACGAAACCAAGAGUGUAAUUUUAGUAACGGUCGAUUUCAUUUAAAUUUAUUCAACAGCCCGGAUCAGACAAAGUUCGCAUACGAACUUGGUGGCGUAGCUAAUGUUUAAUAACCUUAAACAGUACUCCCACACCCACGUUCUAUCCUAGUUGUAUUUGUUGAAGCCCACCCACGUGCAAUGUUGGUCAAACAAUGAUCUGCUAUUUAAUACUUGCUUACUUUUAUGUGUUAUCAAUAUUUUUAAUUAUUUCACUUAGCUCCCUAAUUUGAUUAUUUAGAGAUGCCUUCCCGCUUAACCAGCCAUGUGAUGUGCUUAAGUCGGAAUUCCAGAUGGUCAGCUACUGAUUAUCAGAGUCCCUUCGGCCGGAACUGUCGUCAGUCCCCUUCCCCGGCUCAUCGGUAAUCUUGGUUAAGUCCGUUGUCUCUUCCGUGUCCGUCGGUCAGUUAUUUAGCCGUGGGUCUGUGUCCUGAUUUUCCUUUUCUUCGUUGGGUUGGAUUGUCUAAUCCGUCCUCUGUGUAGUUUGGUCAUCACCUUCGUUCACCUCUUCCCGGUGGUCUUUGUUCCCGGUCAACUCCUUCCGCUGGUCGUCGCCUCCGGUCGGCUUCUCCCGUUGGUCGUCGUCUCUACCUUUCUUGUUUCUACAUCCUCUGUUAUGUCUGCAUCUCUGUGCUUUUUCCUUGCCAACUCACCACUAGGAAUACCUGCUGAUUUGUUUCUCUUGGUUAGAUUCACUAGCUGCGGACGUGCUCAGUUCUAUUUCUGCUUGAAUCAUUGUCGCGUCGUCCUCAAUUCUCGAUGUUAGAGUUCCCGCGGUCGGCUGUUGGGGAGUUUGAAUUCUUUUUCUUUUUAAUAUUAUGGUCAACUAUUCGGGUCGGGUCCUUCCCCUUUCUUGAUUUUGGUUCGACACCCUUCCUUGAAAACCUCUUUUUUGUUGCUUGGAAAUUUGUUAUUGACCUAGUCUUCCACCCGGCUAAUGACUCUUUUGCCCCUUGGUCGUCGCCGUACUUAUCCAGCUCUCCGAUGAUAGAGUGUUCUUGGAUGAUAUGGAUUGAGAAAAGAAGUUGACGGCCGGAAUGGAUGAAACAGUGCCAAGAUUAGGGUUGCUUCAACCCAGAUCUGUUUUAGGAAAUUUGUAAAAACGUUGAUUACUGAAAUUAAUAAAAGACUUUCCCUUUUAUAGAGUUACAAGUUUCAGACACCACUUAAUUAAAUAGUUCCUGUGGUACACAUGAAAUAAACUAACUAAUUACAUUUCAACUUGAAAUCCCUUAAGCCUUGUUGACUCCCUCUUAUUUCUCGUUGACCGGCGUGUCCCUUCUGCGAUGUUCGCCGGCUCUUCUUCUAUCGCCGUCUCCUCCUCCGUGCUCGACGACUCCUCCAGUUCCAGCAAUCGCCGGACGUCCUUCAGCAUCUCCGACUCUUCCAGACGUCGUCUAUCAUCCGAUGUCUUGAAUAAUCUCCAUGUCCUCCGUACCGCAUGCGUCUUUCUUCUUAUUUGGAUCUCCCGACCCACUUCCGCGUAUCUCCUUAAUUAUUUCUUCCAGUAAUUGCUGAGUGGUCUUUUGCGUGUCCAACUCAGCCAUACGUGUCGCGAUCUCAUUCAGCCUAGCUUCCACGUCAUUUAAAAUUUACCUGCGUAUCGCUUCUUCUUCGUUUUAAACUAAAAUAUUUAUAUAGGAUUUUAAACUAAAAUUUUUUU
rnacentral:lncRNA from 1 species